rnacentral:lncRNA from 1 species
AUGUGUCGCACGUUGUGGUGUAAAGUUGUAAAAGUAACUUAAACAAAAGGAGGUUUCAAGUUAUUAAGUAGAAAAGGUUGGAGGUUUAAAGUUGUCAAUAACCAAAAGUUAGAAGUAAAUGUGUAACUUACUUAUAGAUGACGGUUAAUAGUGUUUCAUGUCAAAGAGGGUUAAUAGUGAAUGUUUUCAAAAGUUUGAGGGUUAAUGAAUGUUGUCAAAAGUUGAGGAAAUUAUCAGAAGUUGAGGGUUAAUAUGUGAAUGUGUCAAAAUUUAAGGGUUA